ACCAUUCAGCCUGAUCCGGAAGGAAGGCCAUGAUUUCAGCUCUCUGGGAUUUGAGACAAAGAGGCCCCUUUUCUUUCAUUUUAUCUUUUCAUGUCUCUUCUUGCCAUGUACCCACAUGAUUGAGUGUGGGCUGAGGGUGAAUCCAAGAAGGGCUUUGUUUUGUGGUCAGUACAGGCUUUGGUCCACAGAGACAACAAUACUUUCAAUACUCUUUUGUUCUGCCCCAGAGGAGCUCAACACAGAAUUGCCUAGAACAAGAAACUGGAAUUGUACAUGGCGAUCAUCAGCAGUAUGAAGAGGAGCUGUGGGGCCAGUGAGAGAAGCUGCAGCCUGUUGAGACUCCACAAGACUGAAGAUAUGAAAAGAGGAAAUAUGCAUGAAUGCCCGCACGGAGAACCACCCCCACCUGCUGCUCCCGCUCUAAUGAUCACGCCCAUUAUCAACUGGGGGAUGGCUCUGUGCCUUGUCCUUGCAUUACAUGGACCAAGAACACUUCACAGGACUCAGAGAGGCAAAAAUAGAUACAAAAGAAGAAGGAAUUACAGAAGAAGUCACAUAACAUUAUUGCCUACAACUGACUGUUUACCUUGAAUACUUGAAGACCAGAAUGAAGAUUCUUGGGGUGAAGAAUUACAGCCUUAGCAUGGAGCAGGCCUCGGUGCAUCGGCUUUCAGCUAGGCAUGCCUGCCAAUGUUCAACGUCCUCCUGGGAUACGGAAGGCACCGUGAUAGACAUCUGGGCAAGUCAACAGGAAGGUGGAUAUCCAAAUCUCUCUCUUCGCAAUGAGUUUCCAGUUAGAUGGAGGAGAGAGUAAUAAAACACAGAGCUGAGAUUCCUGACUUCACAGAUCCCUGAGGAGAUGUUUACUAAAGGGAAUCUUCUGGUCACUGUUACCUUCCUCCGUACUUACCUGCCUCAUGGAUAACACUGAAGAAUGCAGUUUACUUACAUCUUUUUCUGUUUGACAGAAGACAGUUAUUAGUUACCCUUGGGACAUCAAAAUGACCAAGGCAGUGUCUGCUAAGUAUUUGCUGAGACUCUGCUAUGAUUCUUUCAAGUCUAAAGACAGUUAUCUGAAUGAUAUCCCCGUGACAGUGGACUCCUGCACAUUCACAGUCCUGGAAGGAGCCUGUCCACAUUGGCAUUCUGGAAGUCCAUAAAAGACAAACGCAUAUGCAGUCCCCGAGAAAGCAUUGUUGUAAACAAAUCUGCACUAGAUGGAAACUCUGUUAUGUGGUGCCGGCAUGCAUGGAAGAGAACCCGAAAGGAAGAAGCUAUACGACUGGGGACACAUGUCUUAGAAGCACACUCAUUAGAUAAAGUGUCGCAUACUCUUUGAUAAGACAACCCUUACAAGAUUUUUGCCCAGCGAAAGUGGCACGUGGAACAUGGAAUGACAUUUCAUAAAGAUAAAUCCAGAGAUUAGUGCUGAAGACUACACCCCUGUGUAGUCCCACACAGGCUACCCCAGACCAGCCUGGCGGGCUCUGCACUAGGCCUCCCAUCAGGCGAGAGCCAACGCUCCUCAGCCCGGCUCCACCUCAUUCAGAAGAAAGUGUGUCUCCC
rnacentral:lncRNA from 1 species